GUUUCUCAAACCGUGCCUUCCCAUUUAUGCUGCAUCCGCGCCCUGAAUCUGAAAUUGGUCGUCCUGCCACGCCGCCUCACCGCGGUAUAAGGUCGUCCCAUCCUGAAUGGCCGGUGCGCAGACUCAAUUGCGACUUUGAGGCUGUCAGCCGCCACCCGGCAACCUUCCAGUGAACAGGAUUCUGGGUUUCUCAAAGCUGUAAUUGGAGCAUCUCAGAUGCCAAAACCUCCUGUGGCCAACAUGGUGGCGCCCAGACAUCAAAGCUGAGCUUUCUUUGUCUCCGGCAGCCUGGGCCACUCCAGAGGUGUUAAAGCUCCAGCACUUCGAGCCUGCCUCGUGGGAAAGUCUUAGGCUGAGUCUGUAGGUGUCUGCAGUUAAGAAGCCAGCGGUCUGCAUAUGAUUGCUCAGGGGUGGUGGCUGGGUCCAACAGCAUUCACUACAGGCCUGCCUUGAAUACCACCUAGCGCAGUGCUCCGCAUAUCACAGGGGCUGGAAACCUAACAAUUUCACUUCCUAGACAACUUGCUAAAAGUCACCUAAAGACAGUCUGGUUACUGCCAAAGAUAUGCUUUCAAAUAAGAUUUGGAUAAAGAAGGGAGGUAGAUGCCUUUUUUCAGCAGUGGAGUGAUGUCUAGACCAGUAGAUGUACGCAUCUAAGUGAAUUCAUCACCAGCAACAAUUUCCAGAAACUUCCUGACCUCCAGAUUGCAGCUUCAUUAGUGUGAGUUUAAAGCCAACUAGAUGCCAUUCUCAGAUUCCACGCAUAUGGCCAAGGGUCCAGGAAAUAAGAAGAAACAGGUUGAGGGGUUGGUGUUAUGGGGCAUUUACUUGAAUUUUCUAUGCUAUAAUUGUCUCAUCUUUAAAACGGUGAUAAUAAUAAAAUUGUCAGUUAUUAAAUAAAUUAACACAGUGAAAAAAAAUUUCUUCAAGGUUCUU
rnacentral:lncRNA from 10 species